GCAGAACCACUGUCUCUAGAAAUAGCAGCAGAACCUUUAAUCCUCUUCUCUGAUACUGACCUUCCAUCAUCUGGCCGUAACCUCUUAGACCUUGAAUUUGAUUUAGCAAGCUCAAUGUACAAUUUGGAAUCUUUCUCAAAGUCAAAAACCAUUCCAUUCAAUUCAUACAUUGCCACAAGUGCUGAAUGCUGAUCUGCAAAGACGGCAAAAGCAAAUGGCUGAGAAUUACUAGAAGUUUGGCUACGGAGAUGAGAGGAUUCAUAGCCUGCGAAUUCUCGAAAGAGGUUGUAAAUUUCACGAGGCUUGACAUCUUCAGGGAGCCCAGCAAUGAAGAGAGUUCGAACAUCGUCGUGCGAAUCCUGAGGAUAAAGAGGAGGGGCGGAUGGAUGGUGGGGGUGAUGGUAUUGCGGAAUAGGAAGUGGUUGGACCACCACCGGCGGCAGCGCGUGAAGUGUGGUGCCAGGUGGCGGCGGAGGGACUGGUGGUGGUGGAGUUUGAUAAUAAGGGUAUUGAUAGCCGUCCAUGGAGAACACUACGGAGACCAAUCAGUGCGUCGGAUUUUGCCCUAUUUUGUGCUCCGUGCUGCUAGACCGGCGAUAACUUCUCUAAUUUGGAUCCCUUGAUUUUAUAGGUCUUUUAAUUCUAUAUCUUU
rnacentral:misc_RNA from 1 species